AAAAUUUUAGUUUAAAUAUUUAAAAUAUUUUUUUUACAAGAAAAGGAUAAUAUAAUUUAUUAAAUUUUA
rnacentral:tRNA from 1 species